rnacentral:rRNA from 1 species
AUUGAACGCUGGCGGCAGGCCUAACACAUGCAAGUCGAGCGAGCGGCGGACGGGUGAGUAAUGUAGGGGGACUGCCCGAUAGAGGGGGAUAACUACUGGAAACGGUGGCUAAUACCGCUUACUAUCGGAUAACCCAUAUGGGAUGAGCUAGUUGGUGGGGUAAGGGCUCACCAAGGCGACGAUCCCUAGCUGGUCUGAGAGGAUGAUUGGCCACACUGGGCCUGGGACACGGCCCGGACUCCGACGGAGGCAGCAGUGGGGAAUAUUGCACAAUGGGCGCAAGCCUGAUGCAGACAUGCGGCGUGUAUGAGGAGGGCCCUGGGGUGGUAAAGUACUUUGAGUCGGGAGGCGUUACCGAACGAAGAAGCACCGGCUAACUCCGUGCCAGCAGCCGCGGUAAUUC